rnacentral:lncRNA from 1 species
UCCGGGCCUGGAGAAGGAGCAGGUGUCGCGAGAGUGGGCAGCGCGCCGCCUAGCGAGAGCUGGAAUUAUGGCGAACCUGGGAAGUGAGGCUGAGCGGGAGCCCCUCUUGGGCCCGGGAUCACCGGAAAGCAGGUUUUUCUAUUGUGAUAAUGUCCAUCUGGCCAUAUCUUCAAAAGAUUGAUCAGACAGCUGAUGCAAGUUUUUUGGGCUGGGUUAUUGCUUCAUAUAGUCUUGGCCAAAUGGUAGCUUCACCUCUAUUUGGCUUAUGGUCUAAUUAUAGGCCGAGAAAAGAACCUCUUAUCGUCUCCAUCUCUAUUUCGGUGGCAGCCAACUGCCUAUAUGUGUAUGUCCAUGUGCCAGCUGCUCAUAAUAAAUACUACAUGUUGAUUGCUCGUGGAUUGGUGGGAUUUGGAGCAGGUAACUGUGCAUGUAUGUGUGUUUGUGUAUGUUAGGUCACAUUCUUCCUCCUGUUCAUAGCCAUGUCUCCCCUGUGUCAUCCUUUCCCAGUCUCACAUCCCUGGUUCAGCAAAUUCUGCCUCUGUCCAUGAUCCUUCUGUUAUGUGCAUGUUCACUAGUCUUCACCCUCAGGGCACACAUUAAGUGCUAUGUGUAGUGUGGAGCCCUCUCAGGCUUCUUGAAUGCAUCCUUUUCUAUUUUUGGCCUUUGCUUGCCCUAUUGUAUUGGUUCU